ACCUGGUGGAUCCUGCCAGUGGUCAUAUGCUCGUUCAAAGAUUAAGCCAUGCAUGUCCAAGUUCACAACUUUUAGUGGAAACUGCGAAGCGCUCAGUAAAUCAGUUAUCGUCUAUUCGAUCAUAGUACUUCAGUGGAUAACUGUGGUAAAUCUAGAGUUAAUCCAUGCGAAAAUCACUUGAUAUCAAGUGGCAUUUAUUAGCCAAAACCAAACAAAAUAUUCAUUUUCCAUGUAUAUUUUAUUAGGUGAAUCUAGAUAACUGUGCAUAUCGUAUGGCUAACGCCAGCGAUAGUUCGAUUGAAUUUCUGCCCUAUCAUUUUGUUGGUAAGGUAGUGGCUUACCAAGAAGUUGACGGGUAACGGGGAAUCAGGGUUCGAUUCCGGAGAGGGAGCCUGAGAAACGGCUACCACAUCCAAGGAAGGCAGCAGGCGCGCAAAUUACCCAAUCCAGACAUUGGGAGGUAGUGACGAGAAAUACCGAUGCAUGUCUAAUGGAUAUGCAAUCGGAAUGAACGUGAUAUAGAAUCUCCGUUGAGGAUCUAUUGGAGGGCAAGUCUGGUGCCAGCAGCCGCGGUAAUUCCAGCUCCAAUAGUGUAUAUCAAAAUUGUUGCGGUUAAAACGCUCGUAGUUGGAUUACAAGCGUAUUGUAUGAUAAAUAUGCGAAAUAUUUAAAAGUAUAUUUAAUUAUAUAAGACGUUUUGAUCGCAAGUGUUAAUUGUAUACUUAAUUGAAUACAUUAACAUUUUUGCGGAGCGUGCCUUGAAUAAAGCACAGUGCUCAAAGCAGGCGUACGCUCGAAUGUAAUAGCAUGGAACGAAUAAAAGCUAACUAUGAUUUAGUUUGUUAGGUUAUCUAAAUCAAGUUGCGAGAUUAAAAGGGAUAUUUGAGGGCAUUAGUACUCGAUAGCGAGAGGUGAAAUUCUGUGACCUAUCGAAGACUGACUAUUGCGAAAGCAUUUGCCAAGAAUGUUUUCAUUAAUCAAGAACGAAAGUUAAAGGUUCGAAGACGAUCAGAUACCGUCCUAGUUUUAACUUCAAACGUUGCCAACACGGAAUCAGUUCGAAAGACAUUUCAAGUUGGUUCCCCCGGGAAACCUUAAGUUUUCGGGUUCCUGGGGUAGUAUGGUCGCAAGGCUGAAACUUAAAGAAAUUGACGGAGGGGCACCACCAGGAGUGGAGCCUGCGGCUUAAUUUGACUCAACACGGGACAACUCACCAGGUCCAGACAUUGAAAGGAUUGACAGACUGAUAGAUCUUUCAUGAUACAGUGAUUGGUGGUGCAUGGCCGUUCUUAGUUGGUGGAGUGAUCUGUCAGGUUUAUUCCGGUAACGAGCGAGACCACGAUCUCUAUUUAAUAAGGUUAUAGUUAAUUAAUUUAACUAUAAAAAAUACGCCAUUAUAGAGAGACCGCGAGAUAAAAACUCGAGGAAGCGUGGCAAUAACAGGUCUGUGAUGCCCUUCGAUGUCCUGGGCUGCACGCGCGCUACAAUGGCAGCAACAAAGAGUUACAAUAUAUACCUGAUUUGAAAAGAUUGGGAAAUCUUGUAAAUUGCUGUCUUGAUUGGGAUUGAGCCUUGUAAUUAUUGCUCAUGAAAGAGGAAUUCCUCGUAAGCGCAAGUCACUAACUUGUGUUGAUUACGUCUCUGCCCCUUGUACACACCGCCCGUCGCUACUACCGAUUGAAUCCAGUUUCGAGAAGAUGGAAUCGGACGAAUUGGAAACAAUUUGCUGAGAGCAUCUCCUAGACACUGGAUUAAAGGAAGUAAAAGUCGACCAUGCCCGUAGGUGAACCAGCGGGAG
rnacentral:rRNA from 1 species